AUUGAACGCUGGCGGCAGGCAUAACACAUGCAAGUCGAACGAGUGGCGGACGGGUGAGUCAUGCCUGGGAAACUGCCUGAUGGAGGGGGAUAACUACUGGAAACGGUAGCUAAUACCGCAUACCAUCGGAUGUGCCCAAAUGGGAUUAGGUAGUAGGUGGGGUAAUGGCUCACCAAGGCGACGAUCCCUAGCUGGUCUGAGAGGAUGACCAGCAAAACUGGAACUGAGACACGGUCCAGACUCCUACGGGAGGAAGCAGUGGGGAAUAUUGGACAAUGGGCGGAAGCCUGAUCCAGCCAUGCCGCGUGUGUGAAGAAGGUCUUCGGAUUGUAAAGCACUUUAAGUUGGGAGGCGUUACCAACAGAAUAAGCACCGGCUAACUUCGUGCCAGCAGCCGCGGUAAUUC
rnacentral:rRNA from 1 species